rnacentral:rRNA from 1 species
AUUGAACGCUGGCGGCAGGCCUAACACAUGAAAGUCGCACGAGUGGCGGACGGGUGAGUAAUGUCUGGGAAACUGCCUGAUGGAGGGGGAUAACUACUGGAAACGGUAGCUAAUACCGCAUACCAUCAGAUGUGCCCAGAUGGGAAUAGCUAGUGGGUGGGGUAACUGCUCACCAAGUCGACGAUCCCUAGCUGGUCUGGGAGGAUGACCAUGCACACUGGAAUUGGACUAGUGUUCAGACUCCUACGGGAGGCAGCAGUGGGGAAUAUUGCACAAUGGGCGCAAGCCUGAUGCAGCUAUGCCGCGUGUAUGAUGAAGGCCUUCGGGUUGGAAAGUACUUUCAGCGGGGAGGCGUUACCCGCAGAAUAAGCACCGGCUAACGCCGUGCCAGCCGCCGCGGUAAUUC